GACAGAGGUGCCAAGCGUUAGGCGGAAUCACUGGGCUUAAAGCGUGUGUAGGCGGACCGUUAAGUGCCUUGUGAAAUCCCAUGGCUCAACCAUGGAACUGCUGGGCAUACUGGCGGUCUUGAGUCACCCAGGGGUUGCCGGAACAAAUGGUGGAGCGGUGAAAUGCGUAGAUAUCAGGAGGAACACCGGUGGCGAAGGCGGGUCUCUGGGCCGAUACUGACGCUGAGGAGCGAAAGCGUGGGGAGCGAACAGG
rnacentral:rRNA from 1 species